UCCUUUUCUUCUUCCUUUGCAGCUUCAACAAUGACUCGCUCAAAGAUCACCCCAAAUCCUCCUCCUUCAUCACGAAACCCUUCCUCACAAGCACACGACCCACCACGAGCACGCGGCGCUUCGUCUUCUCAGGCUGAGAGGCCUGUACCUUCCCGCCCCAACCUGGCCCAGGCGACUCCGCCUGUCACCGGAGGAGCCUCCGUUCCCCCACCAGAC
rnacentral:lncRNA from 1 species